GGUAUGCUAUAUUCAAAAUUGAAAAAAAAAUUUCAUUUGAACCUACCUAAUGCAUUAACUUCGUUUAACUAUUAAAGAGCUACUGUAAUAAAAGAACUACUAUAAAAUCAUAAUAAAGUAUCUACAGAUAGUAUUUUACUUCUUAAUGGGUGGGACAUAUUGCUUGGAUGGAUAAUAUUAUCUAGAUAUUAAUCAACAACCUCAAACGCACAAUUAUGGCUGAAUUUUUUUUUUUUAGACAGGCAUAAGCUCAAUAAAAUAAGAAAGA
rnacentral:lncRNA from 1 species